rnacentral:rRNA from 1 species
GUAGUCAUAUGCUUGUCUCAAAGAUUAAGCCAUGCAUGUCUAAGUAUAAGCAACUUGUACUGUGAAACUGCGAAUGGCUCAUUAAAUCAGUUAUCGUUUAUUUGAUAGUACCUCACUACAUGGAUACCUGUGGUAAUUCUAGAGCUAAUACAUGCUAAAAACCCCGACUUCAGGAAGGGGUGUAUUUAUUAGAUAAAAAACCAACGCCCUUCGGGGCUCCUUGGUGAAUCAUAAUAACUUAACGAAUCGCAUGGCCUUGCGCCGGCGAUGGUUCAUUCAAAUUUCUGCCCUAUCAACUUUCGAUGGUAGGAUAGUGGCCUACCAUGGUGGCAACGGGUAACGGGGAAUUAGGGUUCGAUUCCGGAGAGGGAGCCUGAGAAACGGCUACCACAUCCAAGGAAGGCAGCAGGCGCGCAAAUUACCCAAUCCCGAUACGGGGAGGUAGUGACAAUAAAUACUGAUACGGGGCUCUUUUGGGUCUCGUAAUUGGAAUGAGAACAAUUUAAAUCCCUUAACGAGG